rnacentral:rRNA from 1 species
AGUGAACGCUGGCGGCGUGCCUAAUACAUGCAAGUCGAACGGAGUGGCGCACGGGUGAGUAAUGUAUAGCUAAUCUGCCCUACACUAGAGGACAACAGUUGGAAACGACUGCUAAUACUCUAUAGUGUAGGAUGAGGCUAUAUUGUAUCAGCUAGUUGGUGAGGUAAUGGCUCACCAAGGUUAUGACGCAUAACUGGCCUGAGAGGAUGAUCAGUCACGCUGGAACUGAGACACAGGCCAGACUCCUACGGAAGGCAGGAGUAGGGAAUAUUGCUCAAUGGGGGAAAUCCUGAAGCAGCACGGCCGCGUGAAGGAUGACACUUGUGAGAACGUAAACUCCUUUUGUUAGGGAAGCGGUACCUAACGAAUAAGCAACGGCUAACUCCGUGCCAGCAGCCGCGGUAAUAC